rnacentral:rRNA from 1 species
UACGUAGGGGGCUAGCGUUGUCCGGAUUUAUUGGGCGUAAAGAGCGUGUAGGCGGCCAGGUAGGUCUGGUGUGAAAACUCGAGGCUUAACCUCGAGAUGUCAUCGGAAACCAUCUGGCUAGAGUCCGGAAGAGGAGAGUGGAAUUCCUGGUGGAGCGGUGAAAUGCGUUGAUAUCAGAAGGAACGCCGGUGGCGAAAGCGCUCGACUGGACCUUUUCUGACGCUGAGGCGCGAAAGCUAGGGGAGCAAACGGGG